rnacentral:rRNA from 1 species
UACGAAGGGGGCUAGCGUUGUUCGGAAUUACUGGGCGUAAAGCGUGCGCAGGCGGUCUCUCAAGUCAGGGGUGAAAGCCCAGAGCUCAACUCUGGAACUGCCCUUGAAACUGUGAGGCUCGAGUACGGGAGAGGUGAGUGGAAUUCCCAGUGUAGAGGUGAAAUUCGUAGAUAUUGGGAAGAACACCGGUGGCGAAGGCGGCUCACUGGCCCGUUUCUGACGCUCAUGCACGAUAGCGUGGGGAUCAAACAGG